UGACUUGGCAGGUACCGAGCGGCUUCUGGGAGGAUUGUGGGAGCCACCGGAAAAACACUUCACGAAUAACAAUAAAGGGCCCCUUGUUCUCGGAAAUGUGAUCAGCAGCCUCGAAGACAACAAAAUUCCAGCAUAUUCUCUAUAGCCUAUAGCAGUUUAACAAGGCUAUUAAAAGGUUAAACCAGUCAAAAUCAUUUUGGGACCAAGUACCAAGUGCAAAUAUUAUCUAAUCUCUAACCGAUUAUUCAGUAAAUUAAAUAGGUAGCUUUAGUUGUUAUUCUUAUAUUAUUUGUAAAUCUUUUCUAUUGCCAAUUGUUAUUUUUUAUAUGUACGUAUAUGUUAAAUAAAUAAGUGUAUAAGUA